CCUACGGGAGGCAGCAGUGAGGAAUAUUGGUCAAUGGACGAGAGCCUGAACCAGCCAAGUCGCGUGAAGGAUGACUGCCCUAUGGGUUGUAAACCUCUUUUAUAUGGGAAUAAAAUGUUCCACGUGUGGGAUUUUGUAUGUACCAUAUGAAUAAGGAUCGGCUAACUCCGUGCCAGCAGCCGCGGUAAUACGGAGGAUCCGAGCGUUAUCCGGGUUUUUUGGGUUUAAAGGGAGCGUAGGGGGAUUGUUAAGUCAUUUGUGAAAGUUUGGGGCUUAACCGCAAAAUUGCAGUUGAAACUGGCGGUCUUGAGUACAGGAGAGGUAUGCGGAAUGCGUGGUGUAGCGGUGAAAUGCUUAGAUAUCACGAAGAACUCCGAUUGCGAAGGCAGCUUACUGGACUGCAACUGACACUGAGGCACGAAAGUGUGGGUAUCAAACAGGAUUAGAUACCCGUGUAGUC
rnacentral:rRNA from 1 species